UACGGAGGAUGCAAGCGUUAUCCGGAAUGAUUGGGCGUAAAGCGUCCGCAGGUGGCGAUGUAAGUCUGCUGUUAAAGAGCAAAGCUUAACUUUGUAAAAGCAGCGGAAACUACAUCGCUAGAGUGCGUUCGGGGCAGAGGGAAUUCCUGGUGUAGCGGUGAAAUGCGUAGAGAUCAGGAAGAACACCGGUGGCGAAGGCGCUCUGCUAGGCCGCAACUGACACUGAGGGACGAAAGCUAGGGGAGCGAAUGGG
rnacentral:rRNA from 1 species